UACGGGGGGAGCAAGCGUUGUUCGGAUUUACUGGGCGUAAAGGGCGCGUAGGCGGUCAGCACGAGUCAGUUGUGAAAUCUCCGGGCUUAACUCGGAAAGGUCAACUGAUACUGUGCGACUAGAGUGCAAAAGGGGCAACUGGAAUUCUCGGUGUAGCGGUGAAAUGCGUAGAUAUCGGGAAGAACACCCGUGGCGAAGGCGGUUCUCUGGGACGGUACUGACGCUGAGACGCGAAAGCGUGGGGAGCGAACAGG
rnacentral:rRNA from 1 species